ensembl:lncRNA
GUCUGAAUGGCAGCUGUCCAUGUGGGUCUCACUGGGCUAAGAUCAAGGUGUCAUCAUGGCUGCAUUCCUUUUGCAGGCUCUAGGAGAGAAUUCAAUUCCUCACCUUCUCCAACUUCUAUAGGCCAGCUGCAUUCCUCGGCUCAUGGCCCCUUCCUCCAUCUUCAAAGCCAAUAGAGUUGCAUCUUCUUAUCUCUCUCUAUGACUCUGACACUCCUGCCUCCCUCUUAUAAGGGCACAUGUGAUUGCAUUGGAUUCACCACAUAAUCCAGGAUUAUCUUCCCUUGAAGAUCAUUAGCUUAUUCACAUCUGUCAAGCUGUACAGGAAGCAUGGCUGGGAAGUGAGGCCUUAGGAAACUUACAACUAGAGGGAAGGCAAAGGGGAAGCAGACACAUCCUACAUGGCUGGAGCAGGAGGAAGAGAAGGAAGAGAUCUCAUAAGAACUCACUCAGUAUCAUGAGAACAUCAGUCUGGAAAAGACAAAAAGAGGGACAGUGGUUGCCAAGUGCUGGGGAGCGGCCAGAGAAGUUGAUUACCAAAGAGUGCAAGGGAAUUUUUUGUGGUGAUGGAAAUAUUAUUUCAUGGUUCUAUGUAUUUGUGAAAACUCAGAACAAUACCCUGAAAAGAGUGAUUUUCCUGCUACUGAAUGAUACCUCAAUAAAUGUGACCCAGCCUUCCAAAAAAAAAACCCAUUUCUUCCUGCUGAUUCUUGUGCAUCCCCGAUUUUUCUGUUGUGCCACCUUCUAGCUUGGAACUUGUGAAGUCUGAUUCCUUGUGUCAAUCUAAAUAGGUCUGUUACCCGUCAAUGUCAAGUGUUUCCUCACUUGUCCCUGUGUGUGUCUGCACUACGACUUCAGCUCCUUGAUGGCAGAGGGCAGAGAAUACUUACAAUACUUUGAUUGUCUUCCUUUUGUUGACUCAGCACUCACUAAUUUUGAUAGGGUGUAUUUGGUUUUUGUUUUGUUUUGUUUUUGUUUUGAGAUAGGGCCUUGCUCUCUCAUCCAGGCUGGAGCGUAGUGGUGCGAUCUCGGCUCACUGCAAACUCCACCUCCUGGGCCCAAACAAUUCUCUUGUCUCAGCCUCCCUAGCUGGGAUUACAGGUGUGUACCACCCUGCCCAGCUAGUUUUUGUAUUUUUAGUAGAGAUGGGGUUUUGCCGUGUUGGCCAGGCUGGUCUCUGAUCACCUGACCUCAAGUGAUCCGCCUGCCUUGGCCUCCCAAAGUGCUGGAAUUACAGGCGAGAGGGUAUGUUUUAAUCCAGAAGAGCAGUUUUGAUUUUGAUGAACUUUUUGGUAGCCUUUCAUUAAUUUGGUGCCCAGUCUAGCUCCUUCCUUUUUUCCCUUUGAAGUAAUUUGUUAAAACUUCACUAGAUGUUAUUGUACACACAUGAAAUGUUCUCACCAGACAGCGUGUAAAGCUGAACAUUAAACAGGAAGAUAGAAUGCCUAAUUAUUCCAAAUGUAGAAAGUAACAAGAGGACCAGUGUUUCUACUCCUUUGCCUUGAAAAGGAAAGGAGCUGUAGACUUCUGGAACAUCACAAUUUCUUUUCUCCCCAGUUGGACAAGCCACAGCCUGAAGCCUGGCAGGCCCAUCGUGCUUGUGUUUGCAAUGCCAGAAUCUAUGAUUCUAAAAGGUAUCAGGUUUCGAGAAAAAACAGAAUUCUACCUGUGAAGGAUCAGGGAGGGAUUUCCCACCCGGAGUUAGGCCGUAGGGCAAAAGGAUUGCUUUACCACCAUCAUUUGCCAAAAUAUCUGAUUUCCUUGAGUUGCACAAAAAGACAAAUCAUGGUUUAAAGAAUCCGUUUUUAUUUUUGUCUCAUCCCCUGGGAAAAUUUGGCAUGUGGAGUUCUUGAUUUUUACUGUUAGGUGUUUAACAUCACCCAUAGCUUGCCCAGCAUGUAGAAAUCUUUCUUGAAAUUACUUUCAUUUCAACACAACAACCAGCGGGAUAAUAGGAUCAGGCACUUUGUUUCUGCAAAGCAGCUUGAAGUUGGUACGCAUCAUGAACCUGGCCGAUAUGGGAGCCUUACUCAUUUCAGUCAAUAACAUCUUUAAAUGUUUAAGGAAGGGAUUAACAAACUGCUGCCAUGGGUCAAAUCUGGCCUCCCACCUGUUUUUGUAAAUGAAGUUUUAUUGAAAACCCAUCAUGCUCAUGUGUUUCUGUAUUGUCUACAGCUGCUUUUUUUUAAAAAAAAAAAAAAAAACAAACUAUAACAGCAGAGUGGUGUAGUUGCUGCGGAGAUCACAUGUCCUGCAAAGCUGAAAAUAGUUACUAUCUAACCCUUCUGAGAAAAGUUUGAUGACCCUUGCUCUAAGAGAUUACAUUUCCUAGAGUCAGUUUCAGCAUCCCCAUCCGUCCUGCACCAGGCCUCCUUAUUUUUGAGGAUGAAAAUGGAGAGCUAGCAUCUGCAGUGUGAUCCUCUCUCUCAUAAAUAUACAUAUUUUAUUUUCAAUUAAAAUAGGGAAAAAUAAUAAGAUUAUUGAGGUUUUUUUUCCCUAGAGAAAACUUAAGCAAAGAUUCCAGUUGGCCCUCUUUGUGAUAUAUGAAAUUUGUGUCUGUGUGUAUGUCCAUAUGGAACCUAAAUAAUAAAUCACCUAAAACAAUUUAUUGGAAAAAGCAAUCACUCUUUAGCUUUUCGUGAGUUAUAGACCCUUUCGGGUACCUGCAAAGAUCUAAAUAUCCUCUCCUCAGGGCUAAAAAUGGGCAUAUACACCUCAUUCAAACUGUGUGUAUAAUUUCAAGAGCUCAUAGAGAUCUGAGGCUAGCUUGCUCAGUCCAGGAAAAUUACUCCUUUACUGAAGGAUGAGUCUCCAUAGGCAGCACUCCAGGCACUAAGCAGCUUGAGGACGAGUCACAGAUGGUGUUAGGGCAGUUCCAGCAUUCAUAUAAUCACAUCUCAGUCACUUUAUUUUAUAGAACCUGAAGUCUUAAGGAGUUUUCAGGCUGAAGAGGCCAGUCUGAGUCCUGGUUCUUGUAAUUUUAGGCACAAACAAAAACUUUGAGAGCCUCUGAAUUGUAGAAGCUUCAGUCUGGUCAUUAGGAGCUAACCAGUACCAGAAGAAAACUGCAGAGGUCAGAGGAAAGAAAAGUCCCAGAAAUAUGCAAACGCUGUACAACUCUGAGAGUUCUGUAAGCACCCCCAGCCCCACCCCACAUCUAAUUACAAGGACUUGAUCCCUUUCAGUUCUGUCUCCCCACUAGCAGCAUGCCAUGACAGUCAGUUUUGCAGGAACAUGUAGUCUGCAGAGGUGGGAUGCCACCUACACUUAAAGGAACUAAAGGAAUAUAAAGAUAACCCAGCCAAGUUAAAGACGGGAGCUGGGAACCAUCCAGUGGAGUCUCCCACAGUGCUCAACAGUCCUAGUCAUUCAAGGGUGUUUAUCAUUUGCAUAUACCCAUUACUUACUCAAACGCAAACAGAGGAGGUGAUUUGCAAGUACCAGUCAAGUUGAGUAAACAGUUAUGUAAUCGACCUCCAAAUUCAAACGUGAGGUUGAGUACAGCCCUGGUAGGCUCAAUUUCUUACACUUCUACCGGCCAUAGUCCCAGUAGUUCAGGAAACCAUAACCCACAGGACUGGCCAAAUCAUUAAGGCCCUAUUUCUCAAAUCCAGGUCCUAUUGGCUCCUGUACUCUCUAUAGGUAUGGAAGGGGUGCAGAAGCCAUUGCCAUUGUCCAAAGAUAAGCUACCACCCCACCGGAGAGCCCUGUCACACCACAGCAUACCGGGCUGACACCUGUAUCAGUUUACGUUGCUCACUAAAGUCAUUCCGGGAAUGCCACGCUCUUUGUUCACAUGUAUUACCAAAAGCUGCCAAGACUCAACAUAGCAACAGGUUUUAGUCCGGAUGAGGUAAAGAAACAAACAAAAUCUUACCUGCCUCUAAUAAACUUUUACUUUGAACACUUGGUGAUUCAGAUUCAUUGCUUAGCCUAGCUCCUUUCUCUGCUCAAUUAUAAUUGUUUCUGUAGGUAUGUAAUCAGUUUAUUCCUUUUUCUGUGUGAGAGAGGGGGAAAAUGGGAAAAUUCCACAUCUUCAUGUAAAAGCUUUCUUUCCUCCCUAACACCCACCCAAGACCAAAGGUGAGUUAGGGGAAAAGGCACUGAACUUGGAGUUAGAGAAGUGGAUGUUGAUUUGAGCUCAGCCAGUUGCUAAGUGACCUUGGGCAAAUCAUUCUAGUCCUUUGGACACGUUCCUUCGGCCAUAGAAGGCUUAGGAUGAGAUGAUUUCUAAAUUCCCUUCUAAAUCUGAAAUGUGUUUUUGUGAUUGCUUUGGAAUCCCUUGGGACAUUCAAAGAAACUUUGACUCCCGCAGCGAGAACAGAGACUCGGGAGGGACAUGGUCUGUGUGUUAUUUAAACAACUGAGCUGCGAUAAGGUUUUUCCCAUUAAGGCAUUUGGUGCAGGCAAGCAUUUUAUAAUAAACUUCCCAUGAGCUAAUUUAAAGCUCCCAUUUUUCAAAGUGAGCUCCUUCUAAUUACUUGUUAUUUGAGCUUCAUGUUUCCUUCCAAUCUUGAAUUCUGGGCACCUGUGGAUGCCCAAGCAAAGUCCGUAGCCCUUAAGAAAGAUAAUUGGUUUGAUAAAAGUUGUUAAUACAGUGACUAGGGGGUAUAAACUAAAUGAAUUUGUCCUAAUCUCCCUUCCUGAGUUCUUUCUGUUCUCAGUCAUCACAGCCUCCACCAUCUAAAAAGUCCAGGAAAAACGAACAUGUACUCGGUGCCUACCAGUGACCAAGCCCUGGUCUAAGGGCUAAUUUUGAAUAUGGCACUUACAACAUUCCAGGCACUGCUCUAAGUCCUUCGUAUGUGUUCAUUUAUCGGUGUUUCCUUACAGUCUCAGGAAGUAGGUACUUUUCUUUUUUUUGAGACGGAGUUUCGCUCUUGUUACCCAGGCCGGAGUGUGAUGGCGCUAUCUCGGCUCACCGCAACCUCCGCCUCCUGGGUUCAGGCAAUUCUCCUGCCUCAGCCUCCGGAGUAGCUGGGAUUACAGGCACGCGCCACCAUGCCCAGCUAAUUUUUUGUGUUUUUAGUAGAGACGGGGUUUCACCGUGUUGACCAGGAUGGUGUCGAUCUCUUGACCUUGUGAUCCACCCGCCUCGGCCUCCCAAAGUGCUCGGAUUACAGGCUUGAGCCACCGUGCCCUGCCAAGUAGGUACUUUUCUUAUCCCUAUUUACCAAUGAAGAAACUGAAGCACAGAGUGGUCAAGUAAUUUGUUCAAGGUCACACAGCUAAGAAGUGACAAACACAGGAUUUGAAGAUGGGGGUGCUCCCGAGCCCAGGCUCUCAACCGCUUUACUGUUGGGCACUACCCUUGGAUGUGCAUAGAUUUGGGGAGCAGUGUGUUGUAAUAGAAGUUUUUGAAAUGUCAUUUCAUCAAGUAUUUUACCAUUCAAGCAC